rnacentral:rRNA from 1 species
AGAGUUUGAUCCUGGCUCAGAAUGAACGCUGGCGGCACGGAUUAGGCAUGCAAGUCGAACGGUAGUCCUUACUUCGGUUUGGAUGAGAGUGGCGAAAGGGUGAGUAACGCGUGAGCAACCUGCCCUGAGGCCGGGGAUAGCCCUGCGAAAGCGGGAUUAAUACCGGAUGUGUCCAUGGUCUCUUAUGUGACCUUGGAUAAAGCUUCGGCGCCUCAGGAUGGGCUCGCGUCCGAUUAGCUUGUUGGUGAGGUAAUGGCUCACCAAGGCGAUGACCGGUAGCUGGUCUGAGAGGAUGGUCAGCCACACUGGGACUGAGACACUGCCCAGACCCCUACGGGAGGCUGCAGUCGAGAAUCUUCCGCAAUGCGCGAAAGCGUGACGGAGCGAUGCCGCGUGGAGGACGAAGGCCUUCGGGUCGUAAACUCCUGUCACCCGGGAUGAAGAUCUGACAGUACCGGGAGAGGAAGCUACGGCUAACUACGUGCCAGCAGCCGCGGUAAUACGUAGGUAGCAAGCGUUAUUCGGAUUUAUUGGGCGUAAAGGGUUCGUAGGGGGUUUGUCAAGUCUGGUGUGAAAUACCCCGGCUCAACCGGGGAGGUGCAUUGGAAACUGACAGACUUGAGGUCUGGAGAGGAAAGUGGAAUUCCUGGUGUAGCGGUGGAAUGCGUAGAUAUCAGGAAGAACACCGAUAGCGAAGGCAGCUUUCUGGCCAGAUUCUGACCCUGAAGAACGAAAGCUGGGGGAGCAAACAGGAUUAGAUACCCUGGUAGUCCCAGCCGUAAACGUUGUGCACUCGGUGUGGGGGGAUUUGGUUCCUUCCGUGCCCAAGCUAACGCGUUAAGUGCACCGCCUGGGGAGUACGGCGGCAACGCUAAAACUCAAAGGAAUUGACGGGGGCCCGCACAAGCGGUGGAGCAUGUGGCUUAAUUCGAGGCUACGCGAAGAACCUUACCUGGGUUUGACAUAUAUUCGACCGCCGGUGAAAGCCGGUUUCUCUUCGGAGCGGAUAUACAGGUGCUGCAUGGCUGUCGUCAGCUCGUGUCGUGAGAUGUUCGGUUAAGUCCGGCAACGAGCGCAACCCGUGUCGUCAGUUACCAUCGGGUAAUGCCGGGGACUCUGGCGAGACUGCCCGUGUCAAGCGGGAGGAAGGCGCGAUGACGUCAAGUCCGUAUGGCCCUUACAUCCAGGGCUGCACACGUGCUACAAUGGCCGGUACAAUGGGCAGCGAAACCGCGAGGUGGAGCGAAUCCCCAAAGCCGGCCCCAGUUCGGAUUGGAGUCUGCAAUUCGACUCCAUGAAGCCGGAAUCGCUAGUAAAGGCGUAUCAGCAACGGCGCCUUGAAUACGUUCCCGGGCCUUGUACACACCGCCCGUCACAUCACGGAAGCUGGUUGCACCCGAAGUCGCUGACCCAACCCUUCGGGGAGGGAGGCGCCGAAGGUGUGACUGGUGACUGGGAUGAAGUCGUAACAAGGUA